UUGAGAGGAGAUUGGAUAGGAUUUCUAUGAGCAUUGAUUUUGGGUGAUUUGAAGUUGUUAUGACUUUGUAAAAGCUUUGCAAAGUAAGGGUUUGUUUUGAAUGACUUGGGUUUUAUGAAAUGAAAUAAGGUUUAUGUUUUGGGUAAUUUCAAGAGUUUUGUAAUAAAUCUAUGUAUGAAAUUUUGUGGGUUUAUGGUUAUAGUUGUGAUUAAUAUGUGGUAUAAAUUUGAGCUCGAUCUAACGGUUGAAUUAAGGAAUAUUGAGGUUUAAGUGGGUCAAGGUCUCAGAAAGUAGAAUUUUUAGUAUAAUAGGAGUUUUUAAGAAUUCUUGCAGUCUACUAGUUGGAUUGGAGUGAAACUUAUGUAACAAGAUAUUAGACUUGAUUUUCUAUAUAUUUGAGAAUUUUGAGAUCAAUCGAACGAUGCAAAAGAGAGAUAUUGGCUCU
rnacentral:lncRNA from 1 species